AUGAACGCUGGCGGCGUGCCUAAUACAUGCAAGUCGAGCGAACAGACGAGGAGCUUGCUCCUCUGACGUUAGCGGCGGACGGGUGAGUAACACGUGGAUAACCUACCUAUAAGACUGGGAUAACUUCGGGAAACCGGAGCUAAUACCGGAUAAUAUAUUGAACCGCAUGGUUCAAUAGUGAAAGACGGUUUUGCUGUCACUUAUAGAUGGAUCCGCGCCGCAUUAGCUAGUUGGUAAGGUAACGGCUUACCAAGGCGACGAUGCGUAGCCGACCUGAGAGGGUGAUCGGCCACACUGGAACUGGGACACGGUCCAGACUCCUACGGGAGGCAGCAGUAGGGAAUCUUCCGCAAUGGGCGAAAGCCUGACGGAGCAACGCCGCGUGAGUGAUGAAGGGCUUCGGAUCGUAAAACUCUGUUAUUAGGGAAGAACAAAUGUGUAAGUAACUAUGCACGUCUUGACGGUACCUAAUCAGAAAGCCACGGCUAACUACGU
rnacentral:rRNA from 1 species